rnacentral:rRNA from 1 species
AGCUCCAAGAGCGUAUAUUAAAGUUGUUGCAGUUAAAAAGCUCGUAGUUGGAUUUCUGGUACAACGCGCCUGGCCCGCUUUUGUUAUUGCCGGUGCGCGUUUAUCAUCCUUCUAGAAAACGUUUCUACCUGGGCAACUGGGCCAGACUCGCGAUCUAGAUCUUUUACUUUGAAAAAAUUAGAGUGUUUAAAGCAGGCUUUUGCUGUGAAUACAUUAGCAUGGAAUAAUAAUCUAGGACUUCGGUUCUGUUUUGUUGGUUUCUAGUACUGAAGUAAUGAUUGAUAGGGAUAGUUGGGGGUGCUAGUAUUGCAGCGCCGGCCAGAGGUGAAAUUCUUGGAUUCGGUCAAGACUAACUUAUGCGAAAGCAUUCACCAAGGAUGUCUUCU